GGACGUCCCAAAAAAGAAACUGUAUAGAAUUUAUUGAGACGGAAGGAGUAGAUCAAAUCGGAUCCACGGCCCUCAAAUCCGUUAAUUUUAGUGCCAUAUCGAGAAAAGAUAGAUCAAAUCCGAUCUGGAAUAAAACCCAAUUUUUUUAACAAUAUCCCAAGAAUUCAAAUAAGGUUAGGGUUUCUAUUCCCUUUGCGGUUGAAGUGAGAAAUAUUCGAUAUUCAAAAAUCAAAGCCGGCGCAAAGAGCUUCAAAUAUGGAACUGUAGUCGGUUCCGGAUGAACAUUAACAAGGUGUUGAAAUCCCCCUGUCAGUAAAGUACUUCCGGCCUACUCUGAAACAAAUGCUAGCUCUGUCCGCUAGAAUUAGGAGUCUAUGGAAGCAAAUGUUCUCUUCCUUCUUCAUCUUAGUUGAAUGGACUGGUUGGUCAACAAUAUAAUUAGACAGAUAUUGACUCCUCUUUCUUGUCAUGUCCCCCGAUUUUUCUCUUUUAACCUGUGUUCUAAUCAGAUGGUAUAAGUAUUCUAUUUACAUCUUCUAUAUGUUUACACUUUACUGAAGUAUUCUACAGAUAGUAUGAGAGCAUACAAGUGGCUGAUUUAGCCCAAUACACUAUGUUCAUUCUCUUGUCUAUGUGCGCGUUUAGAUUAAAUGACUUUAGAAUAUCACUAUUGUCGGUCUUUUUCUUUAUUCUUUUCUGCACUGACUCGAAAUCACUAAUGUAUGACAUACUGAUGUAUUUGAUGCCACAGGGUAUGUGUUUAGUUGCUGAAUAUAUUUAAUCACUUGAUGCGAACUUGCACUCUUAAACAAUGCUCUUCUUUCCCCUUCUCUAGGUAGAAAUUUCAUAAAGCAGUUAGCUAACUCAGUUAUAUAUUAUUCAGCUAGUAUGAAACGUCUGGAUUCAUCAAACAUGAUGUUAAUCUUUCCACAUGCCGUUGCGGCAUAGUUUGGAACCAAAUUGUCGCAACUCGUGGUUGAGUGAAGGGAUCUAAUCUUAUCUUAUCUUGGGAACUUUUAAGUUCCUAGUUUGUUUAAUAUGACACUUCUCAUUAAUCUUUUUUUCAGUUUAAGAGGACCAUAUUUGCUAUGUUCACUGCAAACUUGAUUACUGUGUGUAAAGACAAGACCAAAUACUAAUUAUUUUAGGUGUUAGGUAAAGGCUUAACUUUAAAAUAUGUUUACUUGGCCACGGUGUGCAGGCUAUGCUAUUAUAAUCCAACUGAUCAACGUCUUUUAAAAUAUACCAAGUGGCAUCUAUGUUAUCUAUUUUAUGCUUGUAACAGGUUUCGAACCAAUUUCUCAUUACAUUUUCUGUUUCAGCUGAGUUGGUUUUGAAUAAGACUUGCAACUUGGUAUUUUAUCAGUAAUCAGUCCUUAAGCAUGACUGUUAUAUAUCACGAAGAAGCAUGCUAAGCUAAAGAUUAUAAUGUACAACCUACUUUUUACUUUUGGUUUUUAUAGCUUUGAUUCAACCAACUUUUGUAAAGGUUUUUUGAGAUGGAGGAACCAUAUCUUUUUCUCCGUAGAUGGUAGAUUGUACAUGACUAAACAUAUUGAAAUAACCCAUCAAAUAACUUUAAUAUGUACAUAUAUUUUUUUGUAAGUUAGCAAUACUGUGAUAUUGAUAUAUUAUAUAUACUGGUUAAAUGAUUAGAAAAGGGGUAGUGGAGAGAAGGUAAAAAGUGGGGCUGUCAAAAAUAUAUGUAUGGAAUUAAAUUUGUUUACCACCAGCCUCUUUGGAACCUGGAUAUCAUCAGCGUGUCUUAUCUGGUUUAAAGCCCUUGCAAAUCUCCUGCCACUUACCGGAUAUAUGUACCCUUCAUAUCGUUCAAUUCUAUCAUUAGAUAAUUUUUACUGGCCGGGAGUCGAGGGGGAAGUCGUUGGGAAUCUAGUAGGGAGGACACUGCCCUAAACAAGCGGAAUGUGUCAUGCACGGCCGAUUACUGAUUUUGAUUUAACAUUUGCACUAGAAUAGUAUCAGGCUUUGCACACUCCACAAAUAUGGUUGAAACAAAUUAAGGAAAGCGACACACACCCAAAGCGGCAAGCAUUACAUACUGUUCAUAGAGUAGGGUCAAGACUCAAGGCUGCAGUGGUGCCUCGUGCACCACCACAAUUUAGCCUACUGUGUUAGUCCCACCCAUCAGCUCAAGCAAAUGGCCCCCUACCCAACGCUCUCCACAGGAGUAAAGAGUAAAAGCCUUCUCUCAGGUGUUCUUUUUUAUAAAUGGGGCUCAUAUAUCUCUUAGUACUGUCCUACCAAUUUGUGAUCCAUUGAUGUACCCCACUGACGAGACCUAACAGUUGCUCUUCUGUGGUAAUGUGGCUAUAAUGUUUUCAUUCAUCAACAACCGUGUAUUCAAUCCAAUCUAGCUGUUUAUUUCUCUAAUUUUCUGGUCUUAGUUUAUACUUUUCCUUCACAUAAGCCUCCCUUUUGAAGUUGUUGAACAAUAUUUACCGUUCUGAAGUCGAACUUCAAGCUCAUGAGCGUUAAACAUAAAUUUAAAUAAGUUGCACUAUACAGAUUUGUUAAUAUUCGGAAUUGGAUCAUAUAUCUAUGCACGACAAACACAUCAUGAUUACGAUGAAAUCUGUACUUACAUAUCAAGUACAUACACAAAUGCAUAUAUAAACAUAAUGAUUUUGAUAAUUAUCAUCCAUUCCUUUGUCGUUUUGCUGGUAUGGCUUUUGGGCAGAGUAAUCCAGAGUCCGUGCAAACAUGAUAGAUUUUUAGAAGUUUUUGUUUUCUUUAACAAGAAGUCAAUAUUUGAUCUAUACACUUGUGGAACCACAGUCUUAUUACCGUGAUACCUAAUACAUUAGAAGUGGACAGUGAAAUUACCUUUGGUGUUUCUGGUCUUUUAUGAGGUCAUGAGAUGUUUUGUUAUUGGUUCAAUAAGGAUAAGCUCAUCAACACUACAUCUUUUCUCCUCUUACUUUUCGUCACACAGAUGCUUACACAUCCUGCUGCUAUAAUUCUUAGUUGUACUAUAUCAGUCCAAGUUGCUUAAUGUUAUUGCUAUGUUUUCGCAUCUGAGUAAUAGAUUAUUUAGCUCUGGGUGGUGCAUGCGGAAAGUAAAGUAAUGUUGAACGCAUUAGUGUUAAAUGGCUUGCGUACUUGUAGUAAGGUCUUGUUCCACUACAUUGUGGAUAAAAAAAGGUGUUAAAUUUUGUUAAUUAAAUCUGAAUCCUCUUUAUAUUGAUUUGUCGUUAACAGAACAUCGUCUUGAUCAUUCUAAUCAUGUUUUAGUUUUGGCAUGUCGUAAUCUUGAUCACGCGGGUAGUGCCCCAGGGAUACAGUUACUGUUCAGCUUCAUUUAACGCAGUGCCGUACAAUUGAAAGCGUCUCAAUUAUUGAGAACCAGCGAAUUAGAAGGUGGUUUCAUCACUACCAGAAGGGAAGACAAUUGCCACAAUAAUACUCUGGGGGUUUGAACUCUGAAAUAGUGGUAUGUCCUUUUCUUAGUAACAAAUAACGCUAUGUGUCUGGUGCAUAAGGUUCCCGUCGGUAUCACCAGGGAUCGAAAUUUGUAUAUACUAAUUUUUGCGGAUAUGUCAGAAACACGCAAACUAAUAUUGCGAGAAGACAUGGCCAAAGGCCGCGAAGUGCACAGAAAAUCAUGCAAACUGAAAACCCCACCGUGAUGAAUAAUGAGGCUAGAACACAAUGGAAGUACUUUCAAAGUAGAGAGGGGUGAUAUGCACCCUCUCCUGCAGACACUGUAAUCCUCUUGUGCCCAAAUGUUUAUUUGCAGCAUAUCUGGUUUUUUUAAUCUCAAACUCUAUGCACUUAUUGGGAGGGUCUUAUCCUUGUCUUAGCUAAUUAAGGACCAGAAUAUCAUCAAUGACGUUGGAAAUCUUGUGUCUGUAGCUGUCAUGAUUAGAAUAAAAUCAAUGCAGGAUCUUCAUCAGGAUUCAGGAGUGGAAUGUCUUGAUAUAAAGAGUGAAUGCUUGUUAUUAUAUUUUGUUUC